rnacentral:lncRNA from 1 species
CGAAAGCCACCCUCACGCUUUGGAUUAUCUUUCUUUGGUAUUUAUUCAUUUGUCAUUUUAUUUCAAAAUUAAACACUUUAAAAUAAAAUGAUGAAGAAAACGCAGUGCUCCACAAAGGCACAAACGUCCACACGUUAUUUGCAUUACGGCAAUGACGAAAAAUUUUAGUUUGAAGGUUCAAUUAUUUUGAUGUGAUUUUAUAGUUUCGCAUAAAACUCAUGAGUUAGGUGUUCAAAAUUACAACUGGUUAAUUCUCUAAGCAAAUCAACCAAAUGAAGAUACUAUAAGUAGAUGCCAUGAAUUAUAUUUUUAUUUCAUUCUCUUCGUUAUAAAUCAUAGUAGAUGACUAGAUGUUUAAAGUUACGAUAUACAAGGCGCAGAUUAAUAACGGUUUGACUGUAUGUUCAUGCAUCUGUAAAUUAUUGGUGCCAUUUUGUUGUCAACUACAAUAACUGAAGAAAAAGAAACUAAAUCCCUCUAAAAAAAAAAAAAAAAUCCCUCUAGUAGAUAUAGACUCAGAGGCUCAGAAUAGUAAGCUAACGACAUCUUGUUGAAACAAACGAUCUUAUUUAGGUUACUAAUUAGGAAGCAAAAGAUUGUUACAAGUUUGAAGUUCGAACUCUGACAUAGCCCAUGGGUCCAAACCUUAGGCACCCAAUUCCAUGUUGAUGGUGAUUUGGGCCGGGUUGAUUAGUAUAUUUUUGUACUUACAUUUAAACUUGUAGUACGCUACACCUAAGUUUCAUAUAUACAAUUUUCAUUUAUGUGCAGACCCAAACAUUUUUUAGGUUGAAUAGUUUUCUUUGCAAGUGUUUUCAAGUGUUUAACCAUAUAUAGAGUCCUGAGGAAAAACUGUCUGCAACAGUACAAACAAACAUAUAUCUAAACUACAAUAAAAUUAUUUACAAAUCCAAAAUGAUGGUAAAGAAACAACAUAGAUCACUGAUGAAAAAAG